rnacentral:rRNA from 1 species
AGUGAACGCUGGCGGUAGGCCUAACACAUGCAAGUCGAACGGCAGCACAGUAAGAGCUUGCUCUUACAGGUGGCGAGUGGCGGACGGGUGAGGAAUACAUCGGAAUCUACUUUUUCGUGGGGGAUAACGUAGGGAAACUUACGCUAAUACCGCAUACGACCUACGGGUGAAAGCAGGGGAUCUUCGGACCUUGCGCGAUUGAAUGAGCCGAUGUCGGAUUAGCUAGUCGGCGGGGUAAAGGCCCACCAAGGCGACGAUCCGUAGCUGGUCUGAGAGGAUGAUCAGCCACACUGGAACUGAGACACGGUCCAGACUCCUACGGGAGGCAGCAGUGGGGAAUAUUGGACAAUGGGCGCAAGCCUGAUCCAGCCAUACCGCGUGGGUGAAGAAGGCCUUCGGGUUGUAAAGCCCUUUUGUUGGGAAAGAAAAGCAGCAGGUUAAUACCCCGCUGUUCUGACGGUACCCAAAGAAUAAGCACCGGCUAACUUCGUG